rnacentral:miRNA from 1 species
UAAGUUCAAAGUGGGUGAAAAGAUUCUAAUAGUCUCUCUGAAUAAGUUCAGCUCUUCUGGCUCAGAUGAAAUAUAUCCAAAAACAACGAUGUAGCUUGUCCAUUGUAAGUAACAUCUGACAUUUUAAAG